GACGAACGCUGGCGGCGUGCUUAACACAUGCAAGUCGAACGGAACGGCCCUGCUUCUGCGGGGUGCUCGAGUGGCGAACGGGUGAGUAACACUUGAGUAACCUGCCCUCGACUUUGUGAUAACUUCAGGAAACUGGGGCUAAUACCGGAUAGGUGCUCCUGCUGCAUGGUGGGGGUUGGAAAGUUUCGGCGGUUGGGGAUGGACUCGCGGCUUAUCAGCUUGUUGGUGGGGGAGUGGCUUACCAAGGCGUUGACGGGUAGCCGGCCUGAGAGGGUGACCGGCGACAUUGGGACUGAGAUACGGCCCAGACUCCUACGGGAGGCAGCAGUGGGGAAUAGUGCACAAUGGGCGGAAGCCUGAUGCAGCAACGCCGCGUGCGGGAUGACGGCCUUCGGGUUGUAAACCGCUUUCGCCUGUGACGAAGCGUGAGUGACGGUAAUGGGUAAAGAAGCACCGGCUAACUACGUG
rnacentral:rRNA from 1 species